rnacentral:rRNA from 1 species
CGGGACGGGUGAGUAAUGUCUGGGAAACUGCCUGAUGGAGGGGGAUAACUACUGGUAACGGUAGCUAAUACCGCAUAACGUCGCAAGACCAAAGAGGGGGACCUUCGGGCCUCUUGCCAUCGGAUGUGCCCAGAUGGGAUUAGCUAGUAGGUGGGGUAACGGCUCACCUAGGCGACGAUCCCUAGCUGGUCUGAGAGGAUGACCAGCCACACUGGAACUGAGACACGGUCCAG